GUUCUUUUGCCAACAGGAGCUGGUAAUCAGGAUGGCAGUGAGGCAGGCACUUGCUUGCAGAAGAACAGGCCUAGUUUUUUAAGAAGCCACAAAAGUGUCUUUGGAUGAUUAGGAUCUAAGGGGCCAACAGCUUUGCAAUAACAGCAUAAAUAUUGUGGGCUGGAUGGACAGGCACCAAAUGGGGACAUUCCAUCCUGCUGUGUGAUGAGAAAGCUGCCACUUUUGAGGCCUUCCAAAACAAAUCAACACUCCAUAUGCCAGAAGGAAAAGCCCAGGAAAGACCUAUUCCAACUGGAGAUGGAAUACGAAGGGAGAAUGAAACAAAACUGCUCCGCUUAGGGAACUUGGAAAGGAAAUUGAAAAGGCAAGGCACAGGCUGGAAGAAAAUAUUUGAAAAAGAUUUAUGUGAACUUCUUUCUGGAUUAUACAAAAUAUUUUUAGAUAUUCUUACAACUCUAAAAUAAGAUAACUCCUUAAAAAUCUAAAUUCUACCAAAGGAGAGAUAAAGAUGACGAAUACAUUCAAAGAUGCUGAAAAUCACUUAUUUAUUAUUAGGAAGUUACAAGCUAAAGCAUAAUGAGAUACCACUACAACCUACUAAACUGACUAAAAUUAAUCAGACUAACCAGGUGUUGGCAAGAAACAGGGACACUGAGACUCUCACACUGCUGGAAGGAAUGUAAAAUGCUAAAACUUCUUUGGAAAUGAGUUCAGUAACUUUUUAAACAGUUGAAAAUAGACCUAUCAUGCAAACCAGCAAUCCCACUUCCAGGUAUUUAUACAAGGAAAAUGACAACAUAUGCCCACAUAAAGACUUGUGCACAAAUGACCGUAGCAGCUUUGUGAUAAUUGCUAAAAACUAGAAACUUGUCAAGUGUCCAACAGCUAAGGAAAUAGAGACAAACUACAUAAGUUGCUGAAAAAUCACAGCAAAUAAUUAGCUGAGGAAGAGACUCAAAUCUAUCAGAACUGCUUGACUUUUGAUCCUGAGCUUAUGCGCAUCCAGUGGGCAAGUGAGGGUGCAUGGGUUUGUGAAGACUCCAGCAGUAUGAUUGGGGACACAGGGUCUCCCUAUGUUGCCCAGGCUGGUAUCGAACUCUGUUGCCCAGGCUGGUAUUGAACUCCUGCGCUCAAGUGAUCCUCCUGCCUCAGCCUCCCAAAAUGCUGGGAUUACAGUUGACAUGCAGGCUGGACAUACAGUGGGCCUCGAUUGCUUAGAAGCCAAACUGAACUCACCAAGAAAAGAAGACAGGAGAAACUUCUCAAGAGGAAUAUCUCCAAAUUGCAGGAUCGAAUACCAUAAGAGGAAUUCUGGACUGAAGAGUUAUGAAGUCAUUUCAGACACUUCCAGACAAUUUGUGUUAAUUAAAUUCUCACUGGUUGAGUUCCAUUCUACACUGGAAGAGCAUUUUUCCUGGAAAGGCUCCUCAAAAUGGACACCAUCAAGAGUCACCUCCUCAGUGAAGCCUUCCAUGGUUUCAUACCACCCAUCCCUAUCGGAAUGAAUGUAUCCUUGUUCUCCGUUAUCCCAGUAUUUUGCCUGGGCUUCUGUCACACUACUUUCAAUGUCUAUACCUCAGUUAUCGAAUCGAAAAACAAGAGUCAUCAGUCUCUAAGGUCCUUGCAAGCUUCAAAACUUUAUAUUUUUGUCAAUUACAACUGAAUAAAGCUGAACAACUUAUUAUUUAUGGAUACUUGCUCAAGCACCAUAUAACUCUUUCAGAUAUUUUAAAAGAAUAUGUUUGCAAAAGACUCCAAAUCAAUGUAUUAAAUUGAAAUCCAGUAUCAAAACACCCAUUAAAGUGCUCUUUUGAAAUUGUACAUUUUAUAUCAAUAAAAUUUCAAAAUAUAAAAACCUCUAUUUUACUUGUUGAAUUCUUAGGAAUAAUAACUAAACAGUUUUAAAAUAUUAGUAGAAAGAUGGUGUCUUUGAAAUAAGAAGAAUGGAGUUGGAGCAUAAGUUGCUUCUAGUUGAAUGACCUGGGCAUGAUUUAUCAUGUCUUUGCACCUCAGUUUCCCUAUCUGUAAAAUGGCAGUAAUGCUGACUUUACUUCACUAAGCUGUUG
rnacentral:lncRNA from 1 species